rnacentral:rRNA from 1 species
AGUGAACGCUGGCGGUAGGCCUAACACAUGCAAGUCGAACGGCAGCACAGUAAGAGCUUGCUCUUACGGGUGGCGAGUGGCGGACGGGUGAGGAAUACAUCGGAAUCUACUUUUUCGUGGGGGAUAACGUAGGGAAACUUACGCUAAUACCGCAUACGACCUACGGGUGAAAGCAGGGGAUCUUCGGACCUUGCGCGAUUGAAUGAGCCGAUGUCGGAUUAGUUAGUUGGCGGGGUAAAGGCCCACCAAGGCGACGAUCCGUAGCUGGUCUGAGAGGAUGAUCAGCCACACUGGAACUGAGACACGGUCCAGACUCCUACGGGAGGCAGCAGUGGGGAAUAUUGGACAAUGGGCGCAAGCCUGAUCCAGCCAUACCGCGUGGGUGAAGAAGGCCCUCGGGUUGUAAAGCCCUUUUGUUGGGAAAGAAAAGCAGCAGGUUAAUACCCCGCUGUUCUGACGGUACCCAAAGAAUAAGCACCGGCUAACUUCGUG